CCUACGGGGGGCAGCAGUGAGGAAUAUUGGUCAAUGGACGCAAGUCUGAACCAGCCAUGCCGCGUGCAGGAAGACGGCUCUAUGAGUUGUAAACUGCUUUUGUACGAGGGUAAACGCAGAUACGCGUAUCUGUCUGAAAGUAUCGUACGAAUAAGGAUCGGCUAACUCCGUGCCAGCAGCCGCGGUAAUACGGAGGAUUCAAGCGUUAUCCGGAUUUAUUGGGUUUAAAGGGUGCGUAGGCGGUCGGAUAAGUUAGAGGUGAAAUCCCGAGGCUCAACUUGGGGAUUGCCUCUGAUACUGUUCGGCUAGAGAGUAGUUGCGGUAGGCGGAAUGUAUGGUGUAGCGGUGAAAUGCUUAGAGAUCAUACAGAACACCGAUUGCGAAGGCAGCUUACCAGGCUACUUCUGACGUUGAGGCACGAAAGCGUGGGGAGCGAACAGGAUUAGAUACCCCUGUAGUC
rnacentral:rRNA from 1 species